rnacentral:rRNA from 1 species
GACGAACGCUGGCGGCGUGCUUAACACAUGCAAGUCGAACGGAAAGGCCCUGCUUGUGUGGGGUGCUCGAGUGGCGAACGGGUGAGUAACACGUGAGUAACCUGCCCUUGACUUUGGGAUAACUUCAGGAAACUGGGGCUAAUACCGGAUAGGAGCUCCUGCUGCAGGGUGGGGGUUGGAAAGUUUCGGCGGGUGGGGAUGGACGCGCGGCUUAUCAGCUUGUUGGUGGGGUAGUGGCUUACCAAGGCUUUGACGGGUAGCCGGCCUGAGAGGGUGACCGGCCACAUUGGGACUGAGAUACGGCCCAGACUCCUACGGGAGGCAGCAGUGGGGAAUAUUGCACAAUGGGCGGAAGCCUGAUGCAGCAACGCCGCGUGCGGGAUGACGGCCUUCGGGUUGUAAACCGCUUUCGCCUGUGACGAAGCGUGAGUGACGGUAAUGGGUAAAGAAGCACCGGCUAACUACGUG